CAUUAGAUGCAUCUAAUUAAAAUCAAAUUUGACUAGGGUUCCAUCUCUUUCCCUCUUUCAAAGAAAACCAGCGUCUCUUUUCUCUGCCAUGGCAGAAAAGUUUUGGCUCCUUCUAUUUUCUUAGCAAAUUUGACUCUCACAUCUUAUAAUAAGAAAUUUGUGUGGCCAUUCUAAGGAAUUAUCUGCCAACUCAAGCACUUUGACUGAAAAAUUCAAACUCGUUUGCCAUUCACAAUGAAGUUGACAAAUGUAAAAAAGGGUUCUCUUUUUGUUUUCUCAUGAUUUCACAAUUUUGGCAACCGAAUCUCUGCUCCCUCUGCCUAUAUCUUCUUUGUUUUCUUGCUACACGCGAUUUGAAAUGGUUCUUUAGCCGUUUGAAAUCCGAAUCAAAAUCAAGAAUCCCGCCCAAUUAGCCCUACAAGAGCCCUAAUUCAUCUCCUAUAAAUACCAAACUUUGUGGCUAGUUUUGGGCAUCUUGGUACCGGCCGCUUCAGACCUUUGUACCGUUACUCCUCUCUCAUUUUUACUACUUUAAACCACUUUCUAAAAGCUUAUUUCUGUCCGGGUUUUAUAAAAAUAUAACAGAGGCAUUACUGUCUUUGUUUUCGGAGUUUGACUGUCGUUCAGUUAGCGGACCUUAGGCUGAAAAUAGUAGACCUAUUUGCACGCCCCAAGUUCGCUGCACCACAAAAGUCUUAAUGCAAGACUCGCUACAAUGCCUGAGCAUGGAAUCAUCACAUCCCUUAUUCUUAGAAGGCAUCGGAUAACAAGAUAACAAGCGAGACACUUGGGGAUGCCUAUGGCACCCUUAUUCAUUUUUUGUUAUUUAUUGUCUUUGUCCUUCAUGUUAUCUGAUUUUUGCAUGUUAAUUUGCUUAUUUAGUUGAGUUACUACCCAUUUUGGAAUUGCAUAUUCAAACUUAUGAUUAGUUAAACAGAACUUUUAUCUCA